CGGGCGGUUAAGCACAGCAGAAUUGUAGCACCUACGGUAUCGGAGGAACUUCUGCGGGAAGUACUGGCCCCAGAGGCACAGGAGGCCGUCAUGGUCCAGGAGGUCCGGGAGGACCAGGCCACUGUGACGUCGUUACUCUGCUCCAUGACAGCGGGUACAACACCAAGGCUGAGACACUCCUCAAGUGUGUUGCUCAGGAGCAGAGUUUUCUUGAUGAUGCAUUAUAGCUUCCACAUCCAAGCUUGCAUCGACUCGCUGAUCGCCAGCGCUACCUACGCCGGCAGGCAGUGUAGUGCAGCGCGUCCUCGACAAUUGCCCCAUGGACUCUCUCAUCGCCUAUGAUGUGAAGAAAUACAGGCAUCUGCAGUGUGUGGUCAGCUACUGCGCUACUGGCGCCGCCCCAACCCAGUUAUUAUCGCAGGCUUCUUCAUCCCGCAUUUGGCGGUCACGCAGUAUUUGCACUCGGCUUCAUCAGCAGAAUUUAUGCUUCCAUUAUAAUAGUAUAAUAUAUUCGUUCAGCAUUUAUUUUCAAUAAAUAUAUACA